ACAUGUGUUUAAGCUUCUUUUUUAUUUGUUCUGUAGAUGGAAAAUGUUGGUUUUACACAAGCAGAACAUACUUUUGACAUAUUCAGAAAAAUGUGCCCCUAAGAGGUAAUAAUGGACAAAGGACAGUCCUGACACAGGGGUCUCAAGGCUUCACAGCGAAAAUUCUGAAAGCAAGUUCAAACAAUGGCAAACGUGCUUUAUAUAAUGCUGCUUUAGGAGGAACUUGACACAGUUCAUCUGCCACAUGAUGCUUGGGAGUUUUCUAAAAUGCCAAAGUCUGAGUGCAAAUGCUGUGGGACCACUAUGCCAUUGCAGUUGCUGGAUACACAUGUUCAAAAUUGUGGCUUUUUUCCACUACACUAGCCUGGAAAAAUGGAGAAGACCCACAAGGUGUAGCCCUACUCUUUCGAAGACAAUUCCGAUCCAAUCCACUUACUGCUAUCCUUGAUCUUGGUGACAGUGUGCUGGAUAGAGAAAGGUCAAUUCUGACAUUUUACAAGGCUCCAAAAGUGAACUGGGCAAGCCCUCUCCACUGCACCUUGAAAGGUAAACUAUUUAUUUGCUGUUAUGACAUAAAUAACAUUGUUUUAACAAUGUUUAUAUCAUGAUAAUCAUAAAUGUGGUCAUAUUGUCCAG
rnacentral:lncRNA from 1 species